rnacentral:lncRNA from 1 species
CUUUAAUUCGAAUUUAAAAUCCCUUCUAUUCGAACAAUAAAAAAAUAAUCUGUGUUUAUUCUCGUACAGCUAAACAGUUUGUUUUAUGAAACUGUGUUACACUGAAAUUAAAGGAUAUCGUUUAUGAACACCCAAUUUUUCCGCUGUGAUGGAGAUUCAACGCAACACAGUAUAUGGUGAAAUUAUAUUUGAUAAUAGCAAUAGCG